rnacentral:rRNA from 1 species
GAAAUGACUGCUAAAACCGCAUAAGCGCACAGGGUCGCAUGACCCGGUGUGAAAAACUCCGGUGGUAUGAGAUGGACCCGCGUCUGAUUAGCUAGUUGGUGGGGUAACGGCCUACCAAGGCAACGAUCAGUAGCCGGCCUGAGAGGGUGAACGGCCACAUUGGGACUGAGACACGGCCCAAACUCCUACGGGAGGCAGCAGUGGGGAAUAUUGCACAAUGGGGGAAACCCUGAUGCAGCGACGCCGCGUGAGUGAAGAAGUAUUUCGGUAUGUAAAGCUCUAUCAGCAGGGAAGAAAAUGACGGUACCUGACUAAGAAGCCCCGGCUAACUACGUGCCAGCAGCCGCGGUAAUACGUAGGGGGCAAGCGUUAUCCGGAUUUACUGGGUGUAAAGGGAGCGUAGACGGCGAAGCAAGUCUGAUGUGAAAGGCAGGGGCUCAACCCCUGGACUGCAUUGGAAACUGUUUUGCUAGAGUGCCGGAGAGGUAAGCGGAAUUCCUAGUGUAGCGGUGAAAUGCGUAGAUAUUAGGAGGAACACCAGUGGCGAAGGCGGCUUACUGGACGGUAACUGACGUUGAGGCUCGAAAGCGUGGGGAGCAAACAGGAUUAGAUACCCUGGUAGUCC